rnacentral:rRNA from 1 species
UACAGAGGGUGCGAGCGUUAAUCGGAAUUACUGGGCGUAAAGGGUGCGUAGGCGGUUUUGUAAGUCUUGUGUGAAAUCUUCAGGCUCAACUUGAAGACUGCACGAGAAACUGCAGGGCUUGAGUGUGGGAGAGGUGAGUGGAAUUCCUGGUGUAGCGGUGAAAUGCGUAGAUAUCAGGAGGAACACCUGUGGCGAAAGCGGCUCACUGGACCACAACUGACGCUGAUGCACGAAAGCUAGGGGAGCAAACAGG